UUAAAAUAAGGGAAAAUUAUAAACCCCAACAAAACACCAACAAAAGAGUAUAAAUACAGAAUCCCAAACAGGGAACAAUUAAAUCAGGAGUCCUCAAACUCCUGAACUACAACUCCCUAGAUAUUGGGAGGAGGAAAGCCUAUGGAAAAGGAGGGAAGUAGAUGGACAACAAAUAGAUUUGAACAUUUAAAUAGAUCUGCUAAAAAUGAGAAUUUUGGGGGAAACACUGACCAGAGGGAGAUACUAAAAUAUAGGUG